rnacentral:rRNA from 1 species
GACGAACGCUGGCGGCGCGCUUAACACAUGCAAGUCGAACGUGAAGCCCGGGCUUGCCCGGGUGGAAAGUGGCGAACGGGUGCGUAACACGUGAGCAACCUGCCCCGAAGACCGGGACGUAACACCGGGAAACCGGGUAGCUAAUACCGGAUGCCCUCAUCAUGUCGCAUGGCGAGAUGAGGAAAUGGAUUCCGCUUCGGGAGUGGGCGUCGCGGCCUAUCAGCUUGUUGGUGAGGUAACGGCUCACCAAGGCUACGACGGGUAGGCUGGUCUGAGAGGAUGUCCAGCCACACUGGGAC